rnacentral:misc_RNA from 1 species
GGAACUUGUAGAAAAUCUAUUGAAUGGACAAUGAGAAGUAGAUGCAUCAGGUGCAAAGACAUCAGAUCAACUCUCUGGAUAUCAUCCCAGCAGUGAGUCUGUUCUAGUUUUCUCUUACAAGAUGACAAUGGCAGUGCAGAGACGCACAAAACUAUAUACAUAUGGCAUUGAUCAAAUCAUUACUUCUACAAAAUAUAAUUUACAAUAUUCAAAUAUUUCAAUCUUUUCUCUCCAAAACCCUCAAACUUCUCACCUCUUAAAGAUAGAAGAUGA